rnacentral:rRNA from 1 species
GUGCUUUCUGUGAAGCCGGGCUGUAAGGCAUCCGGUGGAGAGAUCACUAGUGAGAAUGAUGACAUGAGUAGCGACAAAGAGUGUGAGAAACACUCUCGCCGAAAGUCCAAGGGUUCCUGCUUAAAGCUAAUCUGAGCAGGGUAAGCCGACCCCUAAGUCGAGGCCGAAAGGCGUAGACGAUGGGAACCAGGUUAAUAUUCCUGGGCCAGGAGAUGGUGACGGAUCUCAAAGGUAGUUCAUCCUUAUUGGAUUGGGUGGGCUGCUGAGAGGUUCCUGGAAAUAGCCCUCCAUUAGACCGUACCCUAAACCGACACAGGUGGACUGGUAGAGCAUACCAAGGCGCUUGAGAGAA